AUUGAACGCUGGCGGCAUGCCUUACACAUGCAAGUCGAACGGUAACGGGCCUUCGGGUGCCGACGAGUGGCGAACGGGUGAGUAGUGCAUCGGAACGUACCUUUCAGUGGGGGAUAACGUAGCGAAAGUUACGCUAAUACCGCAUAUUCUGUGAGCAGGAAAGCAGGGGAUCGAAAGACCUUGGGCUGAUUGAGCGGCCGAUGUCAGAUUAGCUAGUUGAUGAGGUAAAGGCUAACCAAGGCGACGAUCGGUAGCGGGUCCGAGGGGAUGAUCCGCCACACUGGAACUGAGACACGGUCCAGACUCCUACGGGAGGCAGCAGUGGGGAAUUUUGGACAAUGGGGGCAACCCUGAUCCAGCCAUGCCGCGUGAGUGAAGAAGGCCUUCGGGUUGUAAAGCUCUUUCGGUCGGGAAGAAAUCGCAUGGGUUAAUACCCUGUGCGGAUGACGGUACCGGCAUAAGAAGCACCGGCUAACUACGUGCCAGCCGCCGCAGUAAAAC
rnacentral:rRNA from 1 species